UACCCGGUAGUGUAAUUGGCAACACAACAGGUUUUGGUCCUGUAUUUUGAGGUUCAAGUCCUCACCGGGUAGCCA
rnacentral:tRNA from 1 species